UCAGAGCCUGCCAAUAGCAUACAGGAACUUGCACAGCAGGUUUAACCUUAACAACCCUUCCUGCCUCCACGUUAGGCUUUUGUGGUGGGAACAGGCAAUGCUCCCUCUCCAGACUUUGACUUCACACUGCUGGCUGGGUUGAAACUCACUCAGGACAGCCUGACUUUGCUGAAACUCAGGCUAUUCCUUCCAAACUGCCUUCGACUUCCUACAUCCUCCCCCAUACAGUGAUGAGCAGGGCUGUUGCCUGACACAGUUUCUAAGUAGCUGGCCUUCACAGUGGAACAUGAAGCUCAGAAGGGUCAGGACCAUGAGGAGGAGAUAAGCCCAUGACAUUCCAAGGGGCUUGCACACUACAACUUUUUAUUGCAAAUUAAUUUUUUAUGCAUGCCAUUGUUGCUGUUAUUAUCCAAGAUGUGAUCUUGUGUGGUUGAUAAUACUGACUAGAUAUGAAUACUGGCACACAGCGCUCUACAUUAUCUGUCAUUUUCAUUAGAUUCAAGCUACAGCUGAGCCAAAAAGACUUAGUUCUAGCAUAUGUGCUCAAAAUGGCCAAGAUGAGAUUGUCCAAAUUCACCCUUUCAGGAUUGUAUUAGAAAACAACCAGAGCUAAAUCUAAAAAUUAGCAGAGCAAUGGAACUGCAUUUGGAAAACAACAAAUGCCACAAGCUCAAAUGAUUCCAGCUUAUCAUAGUCAUCACCUCCAAAAAGCUCCAAGGAGCCUAAGUCAGCAAUGUCAAUGUUUUUUCAACACUUUUUUUUGUACAGCCAAAAUGUGAUGAUGUCAACAGAGAAGAACAAGGACAUCACAACAAGACAAAAUUCCACUGUAUUCCAGUAGCUCACAAAAGUAAAGCAGGAUGCCUCUGAUUAUAUACAAGUACAACAGUUUUAUGGGUCAUUCUUGUUAGAUACUGAGUCAGCAGUAAU